GUACGGCGGUUCAAUCAGUUUGUAUCACUGUGGUACACGUUUGGUGGAGGAACCAGACUGGAGGUUAACUUGGGUGAUGUCCGUCCCUCCCUGACGGUGCUGCCCCCCUCCACAGAGGAGCUGCAGCAGGGGAAGGCCACGCUCAUGUGUCUGGCCAACAAGGGCUUCCCCUCAGACUGGAGUCUGUCCUGGAAGGUGGACGGCAGCAGCAGCAGCAGCAGCAGCAGCUGGGAGGAGAGCAGGAGCCCCGGGGUGCUGCAGGAGGACGGCCUCUACAGCUGGAGCAGCACCCUGAGGCUCCCUGCAGACCAGUGGAGGAAGGUGGGCUCUGUGAGCUGUGAGGCCACCCAGGGCUCCCAGACUCCACUCUCAGAGACACUGAGGAGAGACCAGUGUUCCCAGUCCUGACCUCACCCACUGGGAACAUCACACUGGUUCUGUUCUGUUGCUGUUCUCUGGUUGUUCUUUGUAACUUUCUGUCUUUCUAAUAUCAACCUCAUUUUUAUGGUCAAAGCAUUUUAAAAUAAUAAAAAUGUAUCAAGAAAACAAAUCAAAUUUUUUGGUAUUCUUUUGUUUGGUAUGAAAAUCUUACAGAAUUAAAAGUAUUUAGAUUCACUGACACAAACCCCUGCGACCCCAGUGAGGAUAAAGCGGUAUAUAGAGAAUGGAUGGAUGACACAAACCCACAAGAAAAACAAUGUUACCGUUAAUUAUUAAAGUUGAACUUUUUUGAAUAAAUGUAAAGUAA